CACAGCUUUAUUUUCAUUAACAACCAGCCAAAACAAUCCACUGGCAGCUGCUGGUUUGACAGAGCAGACAGCUCACGUUAAACAUUUAUCCAGUGCCUCAUCGGGCUAUUAAAUGUUCUCCACCAAAUCAGGUGCGACUCCCUAAGCCAGUCCGGACAGUGUUCCUCAAAGUUUUGCUGGCGCAGGAACCCGAAGCUAUGACAAAGAUAAAAAACAAACAAACACACAAACAAAACAACAAGCAAUCAAGUCCUCUCCAUCCUACCAAGAGGGAGGGAGGGCAGGAAAUUGCACCACCAGGAUCCCUCGGCUCUAGUGGUCUGGUAAGUUUUCCCAGGAUUCCUGGUACUUAGUCCUAGACCCAACAUUGUAACCAAUUUGGUUACCAUGCCAACCACUUCAAGCAGCAGUCAUGCGUCCCCUCCUUAGUCACUCAGGGUUGGCCUUUACAUUAAAUGUUGCACUUAGAAUCUUUUUUUGAAUUAUUCUCAUGGGCUGAGAUAAAGUAAAACGUAGGCAACUUUUCAAAAGGAAAUGUGAGUAAUCUACAUAGACUUAUUCAUAAUGGGAAUGAAUUGGACAGGAGCAAUUUUUACUUUGCGCAAGCAUUUGGCGUAGUGACACCAUAAAAUGUAUUGCAAACACUAAAUGAUGACAAAGACAUUUUUACACAUGUAUCAAAGAUGCAAUACAAGAAC